GCCCGGGUGGCUUAGUCGGUUAAGCGUCCGACUUGGCUCAGGUCAUGGUCUCACGGUUUGUGGGUUCAAGCCCCGCGUCGGGCU
rnacentral:tRNA from 1 species